CCUACGGGUGGCUGCAGUGGGGAAUAUUGGACAAUGGGGGAAACCCUGAUCCAGCGACGCCGCGUGGGUGAAGAAGGCCUGCGGGUUGUAAAGCCCUUUCGGUAGGGACGAAAGCUCUUGCUCUAAUAAUGCAAGAGGUUGACUUAACCUACAUAAGAAGCACCGGCUAACUCUGUGCCAGCAGCCGCGGUAAUACAGAGGGUGCGAGCGUUAAUCGGAAUUACUGGGCGUAAAGCGCACGUAGUCGGCUUGUCAAGUCGGGUGUGAAAUCCCCGGGCUCAACCUGGGAACUGCAUCCGAAACUGACUUGCUAGAGUAUGGGAGAGGGAGGCGGAAUUUCUGGUGUAGCAGUGAAAUGCGUAGAUAUCAGAAGGAACAUCAGUGGCGAAGGCGGCCUCCUGGACCAAUACUGACGCUCAGGUGCGAAAGCGUGGGGAGCAAACAGGAUUAGAUACCCCAGUAGUC
rnacentral:rRNA from 1 species